rnacentral:rRNA from 1 species
UACGGGGGGAGCAAGCGUUGUUCGGAUUUACUGGGCGUAAAGGGCGCGUAGGCGGUCAGCACAAGUCAGUUGUGAAAUCUCCGGGCUUAACUCGGAAAGGUCAACUGAUACUGUGCGACUAGAGUGCAGAAGGGGCAACUGGAAUUCUCGGUGUAGCGGUGAAAUGCGUAGAGAUCGGAAAGAACGUCAAUGGCGAAGGCAGCCACCUGGCUCGAUACUGACACUGAGGCGCGAAAGCGUGGGUAGCGAACAGG